rnacentral:antisense_RNA from 1 species
CACCAUGGCGGGCCGGGCGGGGCAGCCGAUAAGGCUGGCCGGUGUUCGUCAGAGAGCCGGUUUGCGACCCCCGCUGUCAGGCCCGCCACCCUC